rnacentral:rRNA from 1 species
GAUGAACGCUGGCGGCGUGCCUAAUACAUGCAAGUCGAGCGAACAGGCGAGGAGCUUGCUCCUCUGACGUUAGCGGCGGACGGGUGAGUAAAACGUGGAUAACCUACCUAUAAGACUGGGAUAACUUCGGGAAACCGGAGCUAAUACCGGAUAAUAUAUUGAACCGCAUGGUUCAAUAGUGAAAGACGGUUUUGCUGUCACUUAUAGAUGGAUCCGCGCCGCAUUAGCUAGUUGGUAAGGUAACGGCUUACCAAGGCAACGAUGCGUAGCCGACCUGAGAGGGUGGUCGGCCACACUGGAACUGAGACACGGUCCAGACUCCUACGGGAGGCAGCAGUAGGGAAUCUUCCGCAAUGGGCGAAAGCCUGACGGAGCAACGCCGCGUGAGUGAUGAAGGUCUUCGGAUCGUAAAACUCUGUUAUUAGGGAAGAACAAAUGUGUAAGUAACUAUGCACGUCUUGACGGUACCUAAUCAGAAAGCCACGGCUAACUACGUG